AAGCAGGGGGAGGAGCAGAGGGAGAAAGCAGACUCCCCACCAAGCAGAGAGCCCUAUGCAGAACUCGAUCCCAGAAUCCUGGGAUCAUGACCUGAGCCAAAGGCAGCUGCUUAACUGACUGAGCCACCCAUGCGCCUUAUACUUUGUGUCCUUGACAGCUUUGCCUGACCCAAGGUCUCAAAAGACUUUCUCCGAUAUUUUCUUCCAGAAGUUUUAGAGUUAGACUUUAUAUUUAUGUCUGAAAUCUACCUGUAAUUCAUUUUUGCACGUGGCUCAAGAUGAGGUUGAUUUUUCUCCCCAUAUGGAUAUCCAGUUUAAUCCAACACCAUUUGCUUUCUUCUUUGUCCCCUGUUUGAUUCAGAAAUAUGUUUAAUCUCCAGACACUGCGGGAGAGAUGUUAGUUAUUUUGUUACAUAUUUCUAUCUUAACUCCACUAUUUUCAGAGAACAUAUUUUGUAUGAUUUAAAUCAUUUAAAAUUUUCUGAGACUUGUUCUGCAGCAUGGUGUACACUCUGUCCCGAUGAAUGUUCCAUAUGCACCGGAAAGAAUAUAACUUCCUCCAUCGCUGGGUAUAGUGUCCUAUAAAUAAUCAAGCUGGCUCGUAAGAUUUUCACAGAACUUCCCUUACCUCAGGGAUCACAACCUUGCACAUGUGAAAACAGUUUCCUACGUUUUGUCCAAUUUUGCUUUUUAAAAUCAUACAUAGGUGUGAAUCUUCAGAAACAAAGAUUUUGCAUUGAUUGUGAUCAUUAUUUUUAGCUUUAACUUAUUAACACGGUGAAUUACUUUGAUAUUUCUUUCUUUCUGAUAUUAAAUAGCCUUUCCCUUCUGAGAUAAAACUUACUUGCUCUUGAUAUAUUUAUUUUUAAAACAAUGUUGGAUUCAAUUAACAUAUUUUAAGGACUUUUGUAAGUGAAAUAGGCCUAUAUUCAUCUUUUCCUUAUUCCUGUUCUUUAUUUCUUUAUCUUUCCUUAUUGUUCUUAACUGGUACAGAGCAAAGCCGCAUUGACCUGAGAAUUCCUGGUGGAUGACUUUGAAAGGGAUCAGCGGAAACUGGGGAUAGAUGGGAAAGCACCAGAAGCAUUCACAAAGGAAACGGACCAUGUUCACUGAGAAACAACUGGCCGAUUUGGAAUCCUUGUUCAGCAAGAACCCAUACCCCGCUCCCAGCCUUCAGAAAGAAAUGGCCUCGAAACUGGAGAUCCAUCCCACUGUACUGCAGGUGUGGUUCAAGAACCACAGAGCAAAACUCAAGAAAGCCAAACAGCAAUUAGCUGGAGCAGAAGUCAAGACCCGCUCUUCCCAGGGACCCAUGGAUGCCCCUCCAGGAUGCCCCCGUGGUGCCCACCAAGCCUCCCUGGUUUAUACAGAUCACCCAACACCUUCCUUCCAACUCAGCAUAUGCUCCAGUCUGAAGGUUCUCCCAGACCAUUCUGUUGGCCACAAAAUCGUCCACUUUGGCUGCUGCCGAGACCCUAACAUCUACUCCCUUUGUCCCAUUAUGGAAUCUCAAAUUCUUCCCACAAGCUUCACUGCUUAUUCUCUUGAUUCUUCAUCUCCACAAAGAACUUAAUGAGCAAAGCCAGAUGCAAAAGGUCACAUACUAUGAUUCACGACGAUUCCCGUACAAGAGAUUCAAGAUCCAUGCAACAUGGAUGCAUUCCAGAAACACGCUCCGUGAAACCAAAGAAAGACACACAAGUGCCCGUUGGGUAGAACUGAGUGGAGAGAGGCACUCAACAAACUUACAGUGACAGGAAUGUUUCCUGUUGUAAUUAGGAUGACAGGGCCCUGCACUAAAUUCACCCAAAGACACAGAAUGGCAAUACUGUAUUACAUACACCACAAAAAGCAAUCAUGGGGCAGGAUGAAGGCACCAGCCAUGGCGGUAAUCAUUUUGCAAUCUAUAAAUGUAUCAAAUCAAUGCACUGUACACCUUAUACUUGUAUCUCAGUCAAGCUGGAGACAAUGUUUAAAUUCUAUCUCAAUAAACAUAUACAAUGAGA